rnacentral:rRNA from 1 species
UGCGCAGGCGGAAUAUUAAGUCAGUGGUGAAAGCCUACAGCUCAACUGUAGAACUGCCAUUGAUACUGAUCUUCUUGAGUAUAGUUGUAGUGGGCGGAAUAUAUCAUGUAGCGGUGAAAUGCUUAGAUAUGAUAUAGAACACCGAUCGCGAAGGCAGCUCACUAAACUAUAACUGACGCUCAGGCACGAAAGCGUGGGGAGCAAACAGGAUUAGAUACCCUGGUAGUC